AGUGGCGGACGGGUGAGUAACGCGUGGGUAACCUGCCCUGUACAGGGGGAUAACAGUUAGAAAUGACUGCUAACACCGCAUAAGCGCACGGUAAGGCAUCUUAGUGUGUGAAAAUAUUCAUAGGUACAGGAUGGGCCCGCGUCUGAUUAGCCAGUUGGCAGGGUAACGGCCUACCAAAGCGACGAUCAGUAGCCGGCUUGAGAGGGUGAACGGCCACAUUGGGACUGAGACACGGCCCAAACUCCUACGGGAGGCAGCAG
rnacentral:rRNA from 1 species